UGCAGAUGAUGUGAAAGAAUAUUUGCUAUCUGAAUGAUAGUGCUGACAUGUAACCACCAAGAUCGCUGAUGCA
ensembl:snoRNA SNORD24 Small nucleolar RNA SNORD24